GAAAAAUCAUCUCCAGCAAAGCAAAGUUUUUUUUUGACAUUGAAAAAACAGUUAUUUUAAUUUCAAGAUGUAAUAAAAAUUUGAAAAUUUUAUAAAUUCAUAAAUGGGGAGGGGAAAGGUUGGAAUGGAAGGAGGUCAAAGAAACGACGGGGCAGAGAAGAGGACCAAGAGUUUCAUUACGAGGAAGAAUUUGAUAAGACAAGAUGACGAUUCGGUUCAAGGGCAGUUACACCCACAAAAAGACGAGAAUCUACUACUUUGAGCCCGGAUUCUGCCCCCCAUUUGGAAAGAGUUCGAGAAGCAGAACAACUAGAACAAGGCCACGCUGAACUUGACGGUGCCCCUCGACGGGAAAAGAAAUGCCUACACGGCAGGACGACGUACGUAAUUUUCCGAAGGGGGAUGCUUACACCGUCACAAUGGAGAUGGAGAUGACGACCCUGAUGAGAGGAGGAUGAGGAGUUUCAAGGUCGAGAUGAAAAUGGUCGGCCAAAUCUUGACCAGCUCGAUCAUCGAGUUUCUUCGAUCUGGAAAUGGGGAAGCCUCUCGUUCAGACGCAAGACGUUGUUCUCGACGUGGCCCUUCGUCACGCCCCGCAUUGCACUACAUUUCCUGCAAUCGGAGAUUUUUCAAUCAAUUCCCCAUCCCCUUUGGACUAGAUGCCCGUCACGGGCAUUAUCAGUCCCUCUGUCUCGGGUCGGAGGAAACCGCCAUCAGCGUUUACGGUUCACGUCAAGGGUCACUUUAGUAUGGACAUUGUAUACGAGUCUGAAAGCGGGGUCGUCCCUUCCAAGGAACUUUUAUCGGGGGACAUGUAAAGCGAAAUGUUGCAAUCGUACAGGGACCGGUUUUCCGACAAGUUCGAAACUACCUUUCACCUGGAAAAGAAAGGCUUCAAGAAAACCUCGAUUCACUUUGCCAAAGCUGCCCUUAGCAAUCUCAUCGGAGGGAUUGGUUACUUCCACGGCCAUCCGAAAGUCCAGCGGCCUUACAACUCUGCCCCCGUGCCGUACUGGACGUCCAAUCUGUACACGGCCGUCCCCUCGAGAAGCUUCUUCCCCCGCGGGUUCCUCUGGGACGAGGGCUUCCAUCUCUUCCUCAUCAACAAGUGGAACCCUGAAAUCUCCAUCGACAUCAAUUCCCACUGGCUCGACAUGAUGAACACGGAACUUCACGGAAGGCUGGAUCCCCCGAGAACAGAUUCUUGUCCCGAGUCCCGGUGGAGUUUGUCGUCCAACGGAACGACGUCGCCAAUCCUCCCACGCUCAUCAUGGGGCUGUUCGACCUCAUUCAACGCCACCGCGAAUGGCUCCUGAUCAAUCAUAAGGCCACCUUGCAGCGAAUGUGGCCCCGUUUAUCGACCUGGUACCAGUGGCUGAAUAAGACCCAGCUGGGAGAGAUGCCCUUCACUUAUCGAUUGGUCAAGCUCGUUUCCGAGCUCGGGAAGUCCUAUUUCGACCUUAUUUGAGCGGAGGAGAGUGUGAAGCUAUGCAUGAAGUUUUGCUGUUUUCCAUACAAAAGUCGGACAUGGAUUUGAGGAAAAUUAUCUUUCAAAAUAUCGUGCUAUCCGGUGGCUCGACUUUAUUUAAAGGUUUUGGUGUCUGAAGUGAGAAAACAAGCACCAAAGGAUAUCAAAAUCAAG